rnacentral:misc_RNA from 1 species
UUUCCGUAGGUGAACCUGCGGAAGGAUCAUUAAAGAAUCGCCCCGUUUUUUAUAAAUGGGUUCUAUUCCCAAACCGUGUAUACAUACCUUUGUUGCUUUGGCAGGCCGCCUCCGGGCGUCGGCUCCGGCUGAUAGUGCCUGCCAGAGGACCAAAACUCUGUGUUUAGUGAUGUCUGAGUACUAUAUAAUAGUUAAAACUUUCAACAACGGAUCUCUUGGUUCUG